AUGGGCAUGGGCCUUGAGAUCCCGAGCUCCUCCCUCUCCUCUUCCAACGAGAACGCGCCGGGGCGGGCGUCGGCGGCCAAGCGCCCGGCGGGGCGCACCAAGUUCCGCGAGACAAGGCACCCGGUGUAUCGCGGCGUGCGGCGCCGGGGCAACGCGGAACGGUGGGUCUGCGAGGUGCGCGUCCCCGGCAAGCGCGGCGCGAGGCUCUGGCUCGGGACGUACGCCACGGCUGAGAUCGCAGCGCGCGCGAACGACGCCGCCAUGCUUGCCCUGGGCGGCCGCUCCGCCGCGCGCCUCAACUUCCCGGACUCCGCGUGGCUGCUCGCCGUGCCGUCCGCGCACUCCGAUCUCGCCGACGUCCGGCGCGCGGCGGUCGAGGCCGUCGCUGAUUUGCAGCGACGGGAGGCUGCCGGUGGGUCCAUCACCGCCACCGCCGCCGAGGAGGCCUCCUGUGGCGCUCCUGCAGAAUCGUCGUCUGAGUCUGACGAUGCCGGUUCGUCGGAGACGUCGAAACCUUCCGCCCAUGGAGACUUCGCGGUGCCGGGCGGAAUGGACAUCGAAAUGUUCAGUAGGCAUGACUUGUUCCCGGAAAUGGACUUGGGCUCGUACUACGCGAGCCUCGCGGAGGCGCUGCUCAUGGACCCGCCUCCGGUGGCGACCGGCACCGGCGCGUACUGGGAUAACGGAGAGUGCGGCGAGGCCGAGGGGGCAACUGAGUUCGCGCUCUGGAGCUAG
rnacentral:rRNA from 1 species